UCUUAUGACCCCAACGCUGCUCUGGGAAACUACGCUGCUUGGAACACUUAACUACACAGAUGCCUGCCGUCUUUUGUUUUUGAACCAGCUGGAACUUUUGCUAACUUGGAAUAUCCACUGGGACGAACAUUUGCUUGCUUGGGAAUACUCGUUCAACAUUGCGUGUCCUUUCUUAUGGUGCUACACCAGUGUCUCCUACUGGAUAGUUUGUGGUCCGACAUAGACAACAGUCAGGGUCGCCACUGCUUUUCAUCUCAGAUGAACGCACAUAUUUGUCUGGCACAAUUUUUACGCCGGAUGCCCUUCCUGACACAACCCUUCUCAGGGAGUGGAGACCCCAGUGGGAUACGAAUCCACAACCCCUGGUUUACCAAACCAAUGCUCUAACCACUGAGCAACAGGGCACAUUAUUUUUGAGAAAUUACCGUACUUUAUUGAGGUAUUUACAUUGGUAAAAUCUUAACUUCCCCAUUGAACUUGAAUGUAAUACUCUUACAUUGUGUAUAAAUAUGUUUCUCUCAUAACAUUUUCACUGAAUGCUUAUUUGCUUUGUUAAUAUGAGCAUCUUGAGGCCACCUGAGGUUGAAAUACAUGUUGCAGUAUUCUCUCUACUGUCAGAAAGAUAUAUUUUCCUUUUUCGUGAGCAGGCACUUCAUCAUUCUGACAACUUUUGUACUGAACCAAAGAUGGAGAUUCAGCAUUUGCCUGUUCGAUGUCAAUCUCUUGUGCAGAAGAUGCUUCCUGCAACUUCUGUAAUUAAUAUAGAGAAAUAAGGUUAAAAGUUUAUAAAAUGAGAAAAAAAUGUAUGAAUAAAGCACAGGUUUUAUUUCAUGGUGCACAAAUUAUUUUUGAUAAGUUGCACACAGGUCUCCUAUUCUAUGAGUGACUAGUAUGUAAUACUACUUGUUUUAAUGCUCUAUAGUAUAUUAUUAAAAUAAAACACACUGCACAAAUAAAUAAACACACAAAUAAAAGGUUUGUAUCAAACUAUCCAUUUUCUCAGCUCCUUAUCCUAACAAGAGUCAUGGGAGUGCUGGAGCCUAUCCCAGCUAUCAACGGGCAAGAGGCAGGGUACACCCUGGUUGCCAGCCAAUCGCAGGGCACAUGAAGAAAAGUCACACUCACAAUCACACCCAGGGGCAAUUUCGAGUGUCCAAUUAAUGUUGCAUGUUUUCUGGAUGUGGGAGGAAACUGGAAUGCCCAGAGAAAACUCACGCAGGCAC